rnacentral:rRNA from 1 species
GGAUUUCUUCGGAUGAAGUGACUGAGCGGCGGACGGGUGAGUAACGCGUGGGUACCUGCCUCAUACAGGGGGAUAACAGUUGGAAACGGCUGCUAAUACCGCAUAAGACCGCAUGGUAAAAACUCCGGUGGUAUGAGAUGGACCCGCGUCCGAUUAGGUAGUUGGUGGGGUAACGGCCUACCAAGCCGACGAUCAGUAGCCGACCUGAGAGGGUGACCGGCCACAUUGGGACUGAGACACGGCCCAAACUCCUACGGGAGGCAGCAGUGGGGAAUAUUGCACAAUGGGGGAAACCCUGAUGCAGCGACGCCGCGUGAGCGAUGAAGUAUUUCGGUAUGUAAAGCUCUAUCAGCAGGGAAGAAAAUGACGGUACCUGACUAAGAAGCCCCGGCUAACUACGUGCCAGCAGCCGCGGUAAUACGUAGGGGGCAAGCGUUAUCCGGAUUUACUGGGUGUAAAGGGAGCGUAGACGGCAUGGCAAGCCAGAUGUGAAAGCCCGGGGCUCAACCCCGGGACUGCAUUUGGAACUGUCAGGCUAGAGUGUCGGAGAGGAAAGCGGAAUUCCUAGUGUAGCGGUGAAAUGCGUAGAUAUUAGGAGGAACACCAGUGGCGAAGGCGGCUUUCUGGACGAUGACUGACGUUGA